GAGUAAUGUCUGGGAAACUGCCUGAUGGAGGGGGAUAACUACUGGAAACGGUAGCUAAUACCGCAUAACGUCGCAAGACCAAAGAGGGGGACCUUCGGGCCUCUUGCCAUCGGAUGUGCCCAGAUGGGAUUAGCUAGUAGGUGGGGUAAAGGCUCACCUAGGCGACGAUCCCUAGCUGGUCUGAGAGGAUGACCAGCCACACUGGAACUGAGACACGGUCCAGACUCCUACGGGAGGCAGCAGUGGGGAAUAUUGCACAAUGGGCGCAAGCCUGAUGCAGCCAUGCCGCGUGUAUGAAGAAGGCCUUCGGGUUGUA
rnacentral:rRNA from 1 species